GAACUUAAUAAUUUGACGGCAUUUUAAGCCAUAAAGGAGUUUGUAAUAUAAUCGUCAAUUCACGUUAGAUCUUACUUAUAAUAGUUUGUAUACCUCCGUCAAAGAUUUUAUUCCAAAUAAAAAAAAAAUUCAAAAAUCAAAAAGAAAAAACUCAGGUCAAGGUGCAACUCUUUAAGAAAUUAUGAACUUCAAUCUUCAAUAAAGACAUAGACUUUAUAUGAAAAAAUAAAGAAAAGUGAAUUUAUAAGUAAAAUAAAAUUAGAAUGUUUAUUUGAAAUAACUAAAAUGUGUACACAUCG
rnacentral:rRNA from 1 species